GGCACAGAUGUUAACUCAGGGCCAAUCUUCCUCAUCCCCCCCCCCCCAAAAAAAAGGUGAUGGGGAGCAAAAACUCCAAGCUGGACAUGUGGCAGGCCUGUGUGCCUUAGCCCACCCACUCCCAGCAUAGCGAGGCCCACCCCAGGGACCAAUACUAUGACAAAGUUCAAAUUUGCCAUUCAUGUUAUAAAGUCUGGCUCCAGGCUUUUUGAGCCUAAUUUAUAUUUUACUGGUUUUGUUUUUUUUAAAUAGCAAAGCCUUGAGCAUCAGCUACUGUCUUCAUAAAUAUGGUCAGUACUUUAUCUCCAGGCCCUUGAUUUAGGGCACUGUAUAAGCUUUAAAAGAAAAGUGUUACAAUAGCAUUUGCAAUUCAACUUUUGAGUUCUUUGCAUGAGGAGAGCCAAUAGCACAUAGAAAAGAUGCCACUAGAACGUCAUUGAUCCACAGGGACAAUUAUGGAACUGGUAUGCAAGAGAAUGGAGGAGGGAGAGUAGUACUGAGAAAAAAAGCCAAAUCACGUGCCUCCUUAUUUUACACAAUAAGCAGCAAGACAUUUUUAAUGUAUGUUAUGUAAAAAAAUUUCAAGUGUUACUGAAAUCUGCAGGUUGGGGUAUUUUGUGUAACUGAAUAUUCUGAUUAAGUGAGGGCUGCAGUGUGUACCAUACAAUAAUGACCAAUUUCCAAAGAUUACAGUGCCAUAAACUGCCCUUGAUACUAAAAUCAUGCCAAACACAACCAGCUUUCUUUGAUGAGUCAAAAUGCACUUCUGGAUCUUGCCAAGCCUUGAGGUCAUCAUUACAAGCAAAACAGUUCUCCUUAUUUAACCUUUCUGAUUGGAUUCUGAGCAAGGAGCAGCUCCCUGGGCUAUGGUCAAUCGCACUGAAAUACAAUUGCUCCCCUCCUCAGUUCCUAACUCUGGUUUUUCACAGGUGGAACUGGCUUCAGGCAGGGUCUACCUGUAUUCAGAAAAGAGGGAAAAGGAUAGGCUCGGCCUCCCUAUCAGGGAGGAGGCUUCAAGUUCAUUGUUGUCACUGGUGACUGGUUCUGAAAUUGAGGAACUAGUUUGAGGAACUUCAGAAUAAACAAGAAACCCAAACAACUUGGCUUUCCACAGAAGACUUCCAACGCAUGGGGCUAAAUGGAAAGAAGCUCGUGGUCCAGCUCUGCCCUCUGGCAGUGGAACCUUAACCAUGGCCUCGUUUCAGAUGCCGCCUUACGCACCCUUUGACAGAUUGGCCUGAGAGACCAGCUUCAGGACAUGAGCAGCAGGGGUGCGUUUGACAUGUCCCUUUACAAUACAGGGUCACAUUCUUGUCCUCCCCCAGGAAGGGAAGUAAGGGCUUGGGACCUGUGGUAUGACGGAAUAUUUGCAGAGGGUCUCAGACCAAUUUCCUUGGUAAAGGAGGGGGACCCAUGAGACAGCCUGUGGCUCUCUCAUCCUCUCCCAGGCCAGGAGGGAUGAGGAGGAGUGUGGAUUUUGGUCUUGUACUUUCACUGAACAACAAAUACUUAGCCAGUGGUUACCAGGCUCCAGAUGCUGUGCUGGCCAGAGCAGAUGUGAUGGUGACCAAGGCAGACAAGGUCCUUGCCCUCGCAGAGCUUUCACCCUCGUAACCCCAGAAAGGCCUUCCUGGAAUGCUGAACCUAGUUACUAGGAAGCACUGUCAUAGCUCAGGCCUCGGACUAUCCGCCUACAAAUCUGUCUCAGAGUGGCCCCAAGCACGUGGGAUUUGCCAGUGUGGUCACUGCCCUCUCUAUCCAGCCUGGAAGGCUAGGAUAAGUUGGCCAUGUCUUUAAUGGCAGGCUACUCAGGGUCUACUUCUGCUCUGAACUACACUUGAGCACAUUUCUUGACAGUGCUCACACCUCCGCAAAUGCACUCCUUGCCCCCAUAGUGCUGAGGUUUCCAGAUUGCUCUCAAGCUCCUAUUCCAAGCUGACAAGCAGGACAAGUCCCCCAAAUGAGACAAAUGCUGAGGGUGUUCCCCCCUAGACACCUGCAGAAUGGGGAGGUGGGGCUCCUCCCAUCCGAGGAGCUGUGUGUGUGACUAGGCUGGGUCAAGCUGGAAAAAGAGGGCCACAGGGCCUUGGUGCAUUCCCCACUCCUCUCCAGCUCCCACAGUCAUGGUUCAUGAUUCAGUACCUGUAAUGUAUCUGCUCCCAUGUCCAUCUCUCCCUCGCCAUGGUGAGUCAUCGAGGACAGCACCCCAGCUGUCAUUUUUAUGUUCUAGCACCUAGCAGAGCCUGCCACAUUUGAUACUCCUGGUAAGCAUGCACUGAGUGAAAAAACGACGGACAAGCUACUGAGAAACAGAUGAGUGCUGCUGGCUCUGAGAGCGUGGCUGGCCUGGGAGAUGGGCAUCCAGACUCUCCAAUCACCUGGUGAGCUGGAGAGGACGGAGCCAGUUCCCUGCACAAGGGGCUACAGGACAGUGGCUGUAUUCUGACUGCAUCCCACCAAGAAGGGGCCACCAUCCAGAUAUGACAUCAUUGCUUUGCCCACAAGGAAGAUUCUCUUCACUGAGAGAAGCCGGAUGAAUCCAGUCGGAGUGACACCCAACUACUCUGGUUCUUCUGGCCACCUGCAUGCCACGGGCAACACGUCUCUUCAUGGGAGAGAGAUGGAGAAGAGCUUCUUGAUGCCCAGCGGGUUUGUACCCUUGCAAUCAAUCAUUAAUAGUAACUGAAUGCCCAUUUUGGAUAAGAUAUUGCUUGGCAAGGUAGGAAAGUGCCCUAAAGGUGCAGGCAACCUUUGAGACUUCCGGGUAACCCUGCCCAGAACUGUAUAUUCCUAUCAACCUUGACCUCCUUAUGGUUACACGAACCUCAUGGUACAAGACAGAGUCAAAUAAAAAGCUUUCUGUUUACUUUUUCUUAGACCCAAAGCAGCUGCUGCUCUGGCUCCGCCCUUCCCAGGUCUGGCAGAGCUUGCAGAAAGGCUGAGAAUGGUGGGAUGGGGGUGGGGGAAUGGAGGAGGAGCUAGCUAAAAAGUACAAUUCCUGCUCCAGAGCAGUUCCUUUGUUCAGAGGCAGCAAAGCAUAGUGAAAAGAGCCUGGACUGUAGUUCAGAUUUUGCUAUUAACUAGCCCUGUGACCUUGGGCAACUCACUCAGCUCUCUUGGGCCACCAUUUUCUCUUCUGUAAAAUAGACGAGGGCACAAACAGUAAUGAUCAUUUCUGGUUUGUAAUUCCAGUAGGUCUUUCUUGACAGAGUGGUUAAGGCUUAAGGUCACUUAGCCAUGUCCGCCUGAAGUGACUGCUGCUAGUCCAGAUUGAUGGGGUGUGUAGACAGGGCUGGGGAAGGAGUCUGCGACAGUUACAGGAAACAAGACCACUUGCAAGGUAAUACUAGCUUUUCCCCUGCAGCUUCAAUAAAGUCAAGUUCACCUUGUGGGUGACCCUGGACAUUGCUUACAGAUGUCCCUGACCAUCAGCAGUCAAUUCACCGCCAACUGCACUGGUCUAGAACAGAGAGCUGAACAAACUCUUUGUCUUGAUGGACACCUGGUCAUGGCUUUAGUGGUAAGAGGCUCUGUAGAGGCCACAGUAACCAGAAACUGAGUGGAAGGGAUGGCUCAGGAGUUCCCUCUGCGGCUUCUUUCUGAGUCCAAACACUGGCUCCAGAAGUGUAGACUACAGAGGUGGUACAGGCUUAGGAUUUCAAAGCUUCCUGAAAUCCAGGGUUUAAUCUAGCCUUUCCAAUCCCUAGAGCUCUUCAGAGCUCUAACUCAGAUGGCAAAAAGGCAGGCAGGUAGAAAAGGGUUCCCCAAAAGGUCUUUCACACCAAAGUACGGCUUCUCUCUCUCUACUCUUUGCAGCGGGGUUUCCCAGCUCCCUAGAGCCAAAGCUCCCUCCUGCUUCUUUGCUGACUGUAACUGGAAGCGGGCCAUUUUCCACCCUUAAGGUUGCUGGACUCAGAAGGGCAGUGACACUGCUGAUCUGGGCUCGGUGCCCUGGCCACAUGACCCCCCUGCCAGGGUGUCCAUCUCUCUGUCACUCAGCAAGCGGCGGGAGCCUCCUGUUUGCUUCCUUAUCUCUGCCUCUUUGGGCUGAAAUGAAUGUGAUCUUUGGCAGAGGGCUUCUCUACAAGGUCUGCUCAAGACUUCCUCUGCAACGUGCUGGGGAAGAGAUCGCCUGUCACCUACCCCCUGCAUGGGUGACUCACCUUCCAGAGAAAGUGCUCUGCUCACCUAAGCAAAGUUGCCUGGAAAAUGACUAAGGCACCUAUCAAAUGCAGUCUGUGGGGCCAACCAGCCAUCGAGCUGGGUCCAGACACACUCUGCCUCUCACCUCCAGCCUGAAGUCAAGUGUGGAGCUGCCACUCCAGGCCUGCUGGUUUCAUUUUCAUCUGAACUGAGCUCCACAUGAGGCUUGACAUCCGGUGAUCUAUUUUUUCUAAAAACUAGGUUCACUUUAGAAAUGACUCUUUGGCCAUGAAGACAGCUUCCCCAAGAGAAAACAAAAUGUUAUUUAAAGGGAACGUCAGCCUAUGGGAGCCUGUAUUUUUGUUUUGUAUUAAGAAGGGGAAAAAAGAAUUUAAAAUGUAAUGUGAAAUUUU